rnacentral:rRNA from 1 species
UACGUAGGGUGCGAGCGUUAAUCGGAAUUACUGGGCGUAAAGAGCUCGUAGGCGGUGUGUCGCGUCGGUCGUGAAAACUUGGGGCUUAACCCUGAGCGUGCGGUCGAUACGGGCAUCACUUGAGUUCGGCAGGGAGACUGGAAUUCCUGGUGUAGCGGUGAAAUGCGCAGAUAUCAGGAGGAACACCGGUGGCGAAGGCGGGUCUCUGGGCCGAUACUGACGCUGGAGGAGCGAAAGCCGUGGGGAGCGAACAGG